AGGGAGAAGGAGGCAGCAGAGCAGGCUGAGCGCAGUCAGAGCAGCAUGGCCCCUGAGGAAGAGCAAGUGGCGAACAAAGCCGAGGAGAAGAAAGAUGAGGAGAGUAUCCCGAUGGAGACAGAGGAGACACAUCUUGAAGACACAGCAGAGAGCCAGCAGAAUGGUGAAGAAGGCACGUCUACUCCUGAGGACAAGGAGAGUGGGCAGGAGAGAGUUGACAGCAUGGAGGUGGAAGGGACCAGUGACAGUAACACGGGCUCAGAGAGCAACAGCGCCACAGUGGAGGAGCCGCCCACAGACCCAGUGCCAGAAGACGAGAAGAAGGAGUAA
rnacentral:lncRNA from 1 species